rnacentral:tRNA from 1 species
GCUCCAGUAGCUCAGUUGGGUAGAGCAUCUGCUUUGUAAGCAGGAGGUCGCAGGUUCAAUUCCUGCCCGGAGCA